rnacentral:rRNA from 1 species
AGCGAACGCUGGCGGCAGGCCUAAUACAUGCAAGUCGAGCGCACCUUCGGGUGAGCGGCGGACGGGUGAGUAACGCGUGGGAACGUGCCCUUUGGUACGGGAUAACUGAGGGAAACUUCAGCUAAUACCGUAUGUGCCCUACGGGGGAAAGAUUUAUCGCCAUUGGAGCGGCCCGCGUUGGAUUAGGUAGUUGGUGAGGUAAAGGCUCACCAAGCCUACGAUCCAUAGCUGGUCUGAGAGGAUGAUCAGCCACACUGGGACUGGGACACGGCCCAGACUCCUACGGGAGGCAGCAGUAGGGAAUCUUGCGCAAUGGGCGAAAGCCUGACGCAGCCAUGCCGCGUGUAUGAUGAAGGUCUUAGGAUUGUAAAAUACUUUCACCGGGGAAGAUAAUGACGGUACCCGGAGAAGAAGCCCCGGCUAACUUCGUGCCAGCAGCCGCAGUAAGAC